rnacentral:rRNA from 1 species
AUUGAACGCUGGCGGCAGGCUUAACACAUGCAAGUCGAGCGAGCGGCGGACGGGUGAGUAAUGUCUGGGAAACUGACUGAUGGAGGGGGAUAACUACUGGAAACGGUAGCUAAUACCGCAUACCAUCAGAUGUGCCCAGAUGGGAUUAGCUAGUCGGUGGGGUAAUGGCUCACCUCGGCGUCGAUCCCUAGCUGGUCUGAGAGGAUGACCAGCCACACUGGAACUGAGCCACGGUCCAUACGCCUACGGGGGGCAGCAGUGGGGAAUAUUGCACAAUGGGCUCAAGCCUGAUGCAUCCAUGCCGCGUGUGUGAAGAAGGCCUUCGGGUUGUAAAGCACUUUCAGCGAUGAGGCGUUACUCGCAGAAGAAGCACCGGCUAACUCCGUGCCAGCAGCCGCGGUAAUAC